UGUUCUAUAGUCGAACUGGUAAAGGCAUUGCCGAUCACAGGCAAGAUUGCGGGUUCGAGUCCCACUGAAACGG
rnacentral:tRNA from 1 species